CCAGCCAUAGCUCAGUUGGUAGAGCGGAGGACUGUAGAGUUAACGCAGCUAUCCUUAGGUCGCUGGUUCGAAUCCGGCUGGCUGGA
rfam:Ascaris lumbricoides genome assembly, scaffold: ALTE_scaffold0002473